GACGAACGCUGGCGGCGUGCUUAACACAUGCAAGUCGAACGGAAAGGCCCUGCUUUUGUGGGGUGCUCGAGUGGCGAACGGGUGAGUAACACGUGAGUAACCUGCCCUUGACUUUGGGAUAACUUCAGGAAACUGGGGCUAAUACCGGAUAGGAGCUCCUGCUGCAUGGUGGGGGUUGGAAAGUUUCGGCGGUUGGGGAUGGACUCGCGGCUUAUCAGCUUGUUGGUGGGGUAGUGGCUUACCAAGGCUUUGACGGGUAGCCGGCCUGAGAGGGUGACCGGCCACAUUGGGACUGAGAUACGGCCCAGACUCCUACGGGGGGCAGCAGUGGGGAAUAUUGCCCAAUGGGCGGAAGCCUGAUGCAGCAACGCCGCGUGCGGGAUGACGGCCUUCGGGUUGUAAACCGCUUUCGCCUGUGACGAAGCGUGAGUGACGGUAAUGGGUAAAGAAGCACCGGCUAACUACGUG
rnacentral:rRNA from 1 species